rnacentral:misc_RNA from 1 species
CAGCCCGGUAAUUCCAGCUCCAAUAGCGUAUAUUAAAGUUGUUGCAGUUAAAAAGCUCGUAGUUGAAUUUCGGGAUCAAUGUUUCGGUCAUGCCGUUGGUAUGUACUGAUAUUAUUGAUUUCUCACCUUCUAAAGAACCGUAAUGCCAUUAAUUUGGUGUCACGGGGAAUUAGGACUGUUACCUUGAAAAAAUUAGAGUGUUUAAAGCAGGCUCACGCUUGAAUACAUUAGCAUGGAAUAAUGAAAUAGGACAUCCGAUUCUAUUUUGUUGGUUUCUAGGAUCGAUGUAAUGAUUAAUAGGGAUAGUUGGGGGCAUUAGUAUUCAAUUGUCAGAGGUGAAAUUCUUGGAUUUAUUGAAGACUAACUACUGCGAAAGCAUUUGCCAAGGAUGUUUUCAUUAAUCAAGAACGAAAGUUAGGGGAUCGAAGACGAUCAGAUACCGUCGUAGUCUUAACCAUAAACUAUGCCGACUAGGGAUCGGAUGAUGUUAAUUUUUUAAUGACUCAUUCGGCGCCUUACG